UCCGGGUUGGACCCGGCGGUCCCGCCAGACAUGGUAACUGGCAGCGAGGGUUGCGCUCGUUGCGGGACUUAACCCAACACCUCACGGCACGAGCUGGCGACAGCCAUGCACCACCUGUGCUGGCUCCUGACUUAACAGGUCGUUCCCCUUUCGGGGUUCUACUUCCAGCAUGUCAAGCCCAGGUAAGGUUCUUCGCUCUGCAUCGAAUUGAACCACAUGCUCCACCGCUUGUGCGGGCCCCCGUCAAUUCCUUUGAGUUUCAACCUUGCGGCCGUACUCCCCAGGCGGACGACUUAAUGCGUUAGCCGCGGCACGGAAUGGACUGAACCACCCCACACCUAGUCGUCAUCGUUUACAGCGUGGACUAC
rnacentral:misc_RNA from 1 species